AACGAACGCUGGCGGCAUGCCUAACACAUGCAAGUCGAACGAGACCUUCGGGUCUAGUGGCGCACGGGUGCGUAACGCGUGGGAACCUGCCCUUAGGUGCGGAAUAACUCCCCGAAAGGGGUGCUAAUACCGGAUAAUGUCUUCGGACCAAAGAUUUAUCGCCUUUGGAUGGGCCCGCGUUGGAUUAGCUAGUUGGUAGGGUAAAAGCCUACCAAGGCGACGAUCCAUAGCUGGUCUGAGAGGAUGAUCAGCCACACUGGGACUGAGACACGGCCCAGACUCCUACGGGAGGCAGCAGUGGGGAAUAUUGGACAAUGGGCGAAAGCCUGAUGCAGCAAUGCCGCGUGAGUGAUGAAGUCCUUAGGGUUGUAAAGCUCUUUUACCCGGGAUGAUAAUGACAGUACCGGGAGAAUAAGCUCCGGCUAACUCCGUG
rnacentral:rRNA from 1 species